rnacentral:rRNA from 1 species
CAAUAGCGUAUAUUUAAGUUGCUGCAGUUAAAAAGCUCGUAGUUGGAUUUCGGGUGGGAAUGGCCGGUCCGCCGUUUCGGUGUGCACUUGCUACGCCCACCUUGCUGUCGGGGACGUGCUCUUGAGUUCACGCUCGGGACACGGAGUCGGCGAGGUUACUUUGAGUAAAUUAGAGUGUUCAAAGCAGGCCUACGCUCUGAAUACAUUAGCAUGGAAUAACACGAUAGGACUCUGGCCUAUCUUGUUGGUCUGUAGGACCGGAGUAAUGAUUAAGAGGGACAGUCGGGGGCAUUCGUAUUUCAUUGUCAGAGGUGAAAUUCUUGGAUUUAUGAAAGACGAACUACUGCGAAAGCAUUUGCCAAGGAUGUUUUCAUUAA